UUUGACUUUAAAGUCCGAUAAAACUGUUAAAACGGUAAUGCACAUUGGAGUUUUACAAAUUCUAACAAAAACCGUAAAAAUGCUGAAGGAAAUAGUACAUGUAUCGUCCCUGUCCCGCCGCAAAAGUCAGUCAUCAGUAGAAGUAAAGUGCUCUGUUUCUGAACAUCGGAAACCGUCUACGUGUCGCCGGAGAAUCUCACCCUUGUUGCUUCCUUGAUUGGAUUUCGCCGCAUCCUACGUCAACCCGACCAGAAUCUAGUGGGGCCUAGGUGGAAAGGAAAGGGCUUCAAAGCUAAAGCUCUUGCAGACCCUAUGUCAAAGAUAGUACUGAAGCUUCAGUUUUCUCUAAAUCAAUCAAAUUGUGAAGCUUUGCUAUGUGGGUGUAGUGUGCUUAACCGUUCGUGCUUUGGUGAAGCCAUGGUUACAGCUUAGAAGGUUAAGCAAUGGUUGAGGUGAGUUUGGAGGAGGCCUUUUAACUCGGUUUUGUGGAGGUGUGGCAAAGACAUUACUGGUUGUUGAUGUCAGCAGAAAUAGUCGUUGUGCAGACUCUCCAUUGUGGUUGGAGAGUUGUACUGUCAAGGAGCGCAAGAUCACAAGAUGGAAUCCAGAACAGUGCCGCGAAGAUCAUACAAUGGUUGAAAGUGAAAAUGGAGCCAAGGAAGAGAUUUAGUAUUUUUUUUCAUUUGCUGCAACCAAGUCAGAGGUAAAUCCUGAGUUGGCAUCUGUUGGGGACAAUAGAACGGCUUUGGAGGCAUUUUCAAGACUUGAUCUUCACCUUCAAGCAUCUCUAAAACCUUGGUCAUUGAAGGGCGGUCCACAGGCAUGAGUUGUAUGCACCACAAAGCAACCAUGAGCAGCUUCUUGGCUAUUCUCUUGUCAUACUCACAGGCAUCCUCAAUUUCAAUGCUUAAUCCCUUUUCCAGUUGAUCAUAGAUCCACGAAGGAAAAUAUAUUUGGCUCGAAUGUUCUGCAUGUGCAUUCAAGUUUUUCCUCCGCCCUGCUAUUUCCAGUAACAACAUUCCGAAGCUAUAAACAUCAGCUU